rnacentral:rRNA from 1 species
UACGAAGGGGGCUAGCGUUGCUCGGAAUUAUUGGGCGUAAAGGGCGCGUAGGCGGCUUGGCAAGUGGAUGGUGAAAUCCCUCGGCUUAACCGAGGAACUGCCGUCCAAACUGCUUAGCUUGAGACCGGGAGAGGUGAGUGGAAUUCCCAGUGUAGCGGUGAAAUGCGUAGAUAUUGGGAGGAACACCAGUGGCGAAGGCGGCUCACUGGACCGGAACUGACGCUGAUGCGCGAAAGCGUGGGGAGCAAACGGG